rnacentral:tRNA from 2 species
GCCUGGGUGGCUCAGUCGGUUGAGCGUCUGACUUCGGCUCAGGUCAUGAUCUCACGGUUUGUGGGUUCGAGUCCCACGUCAGGCU